GUUUGAUCUCAAAUCAGGUAGGACUACCCGCUGAACUUAAGCAUAU
rnacentral:rRNA from 3 species